CGCCUGUUUAUUAAAAACAUAGUUUUUUAAAUUAAUAAAAAAUAAUGUCUGCCCAUUGAAUUUUAAUUAAAAGGCCGCAAUAUACUAAUUGUGCUAAGGUAGCAUAAUCAUUAGAUUUUUAAUUUGAAUCUAGAAUGAAAGAUAAAAUAAAAAAAAAUCUUUAUUAUUUAUAUAAUUUGAAUUUUAUAUUUAAGUUAAAAAGCUUAAAAAAUAAAAUUAGACGAGAAGACCCUAUAGAAUUUUAUUAUAAAAUAAUUAAAUAAAAAUUAUUAAUAUAAUUUAAUUGGGGAGAUUAUAAAAUUUAAUAAACUUUUUAAUAAAUAAAUAUCAAUAAUUUUUGUUUAUUUGAACUUAUUUUAAAAAUAAAAAGAUUAAAUUACCUUAGGGAUAACAGCAUAAUUUUAAAAAAAAGUUCUUAUUUUUUUUAAUGUUUAUGACCUCGAUGUUGGAUUAAAUAAAGUUAAUUUGAAGAUAAAUUAAUAUU
rnacentral:rRNA from 1 species